UCAGAGCCUGCCGCCGCUGCCUGAAAGAGGAGGUCUUAUCUCCCCGCUGCCUCCACCUGGGCUUGCUGGACGCCGUCUUAUUUUCCGCUGUCUUACAGUGCCUACCAGGUGCCGCCAUUGCCUCUCGUCGUGCCUCUACAGGUGCCGUCGCCGCUUCACACUGUGUCUCUUUCAUUGUUCUUGCUGCCCUUCUAGUGCCACCACCACCGCAUUGCCAAUUGCUGCCUCCCCCUAGCCUUAACGUUAGCCAUUUUUUUUUUCAUGGAGCCAGAUAUUCUUCCGCCGUCUCCAUCAGUCUCUACCAAUCGUGGGCAGCCUUCCGGCACCUCUGCCCACAUUGUUCCUAUUACGCCGAUGAAUUCACUCCUUAAUCAGCUUCACAGUUCGGGUCCACCUCUUGCCAAAGAUGGUACUAAUUAUCAUCAAUGGGCACAUAACUUUCGUCACUUCCUUAACAUUCAUGGCUAUCGCUAGUUUAUUACAGAUUUACUGCCGCCCACUAGUGACUCCAGCCUGUCUGAUUGGACAAUAAAAGAUGAGAUCAUCCAAGCUUGGAUUCUCAAGAUGGUCGCUCCACAACUUGUUAGAACUAUUGAGUAUUUGGAUACGGUAAAACAAAUGUGGGACAAAUUAUAUCGUCCGUUUGGGGCCAAAGGGAGCAUCGGUCAUACAAUGGAUAUCUUCAACAACCUUAUUAAGCUGCGUGGCACGUCAUCUCCAUGGCAUUCUACGUAUCUUACCUUGACGAAGCUUGGGAAUCUGCUGGAUCAAUAUCAGCCGAUUUCCUCUGAUCCGAACGUCAAUCAACACUAUCGUCAGGAGCUAUUGGUGACUAUUUAUCUUGGCUCUAUUGAUCCGAGUUUGGCUAAUUAGGUCAAAGGCUCAAUCCUUGAUUGGAGUUACUCCCACCUUGGAGGAAAUGUUUAAUGUUGUGCGACAGAUUGCUCCCAUAUUGACCCCGGCCUUGGCCCCC
rnacentral:lncRNA from 1 species